rnacentral:rRNA from 1 species
UACGGAGGGGGCUAGCGUUGUUCGGAAUUACUGGGCGUAAAGCGCACGUAGGCGGCGAUCCAAGUCAGGGGUGAAAUCCCGGGGCUCAACCCCGGAACUGCCCUUGAAACUAGGUUGCUAGAAUCCUGGAGAGGCGAGUGGAAUUCCGAGUGUAGAGGUGAAAUUCGUAGAUAUUCGGAAGAACACCAGUGGCGAAGGCGGCUCACUGGACUGGUAUUGACGCUGAGGUGCGAAAGCGUGGGGAGCAAACAGG